CGGGUACACAGAGAAGCGGCUCCCGUCGGAGGCCGAGUCGUCGCCACGAUCGCCCCCUUGGUGGACUCGCAGGCCAAGCCUCUUCCCCGCAGAGCUCGAGGAGGGCAGACGGCGGCGGGGGCGCCAUGAGUCAGAGGCAGGUGCUGCAAGUGUUCGAGCAAUACCAGAAGGCCAGGACCCAGUUCGUGCAGAUGGUGGCGGAGCUGGCGACUAGACCUCAAAACAUCGAGACGCUGCAGAACGCGGGGUGUACCCCAGUUGUCAGUCUGCUUGUCAGAAGAACCGGAAGAUCAUAUUAAGGCUGCAGCUGCUUGGGCCUUAGGACAGAUUGGAAGACACACUCCUGAACACGCACGGGCUGUUGCAGUCACAAAUGCUUUGCCAGUUCUGCUUUCUUUGUACAUGUCAACAGAAAGUUCUGAGGAUCUCCAAGUAAAAAGUAAAAAAGCCAUAAAGAAUAUCCUGCAAAAAUGUACCUACUUACCAGCCCUUGAACCAUUUCUAUAUGAUGCUCCUCCCAAUAUUCUGAAACAUGUGGUUGGACAGUUCAGUAAG
rnacentral:sRNA from 1 species